rnacentral:lncRNA from 1 species
UCAGAUUGCAUCAUAUUGUGAAUUCUGAUGAGAUGUCGACAUUGAGAUAUAUUUGGGAAGGAUAUAGAAGGGUGGAAAAGGCAGUGAUGAAGGUGUGUGGUAAUGAUGUGGUAGAAGAAAUUGUGGAAAAGAAAAGAUAUCAGAACCGUGAAAAGGCCUUCGCAAGACCUUGAGCAAAAACCUUGAGAAAAAAAAAAUUAAAAAAAUGGGCUAACUUGAAAUCAAUUGGGAGAUAUACG